rnacentral:lncRNA from 1 species
CUGACUGACUCUGUUAAUGAGGGGACCUGGAAAUGGGUGGACGGCACCCCACUGACCACAGGGUGAGAGAUGAUAACUAAUCUGUCAAUAAGGCUCCUUUCAACCUUUUUCUAUGCAGGUUACUGAUAUUGAUGAUAGCAGUCAACACAGUUAACUAUCAGAUGACAAAUGUCUACAUAUUAUUUAGUAUUAUGAUGUUAUAACUGUGAUGUCUUAUUGUUGUUAAUCCUGUAGGUACUUGUAUUAACAAGGUAGGUACUGGUAUUAACCAUGAUAUCUGACUGUUGUUAACCCUGUAGGUACUGGUAUUAACCAUGAUAUCUGACUGUUUUUAACCCUGUAGGUACUGGUAUUAACCAUGAUAUCUGACUGUUGUUAACCCUGUAGGUACUGGUAUUAAUCAUGAUAUCUGACUGUUUUUAACCCUGUAGGUACUGGUAUUAACCGUGAUAUCUGACUGUUUUUAACCCUGUAGGUACUGGUAUUAACCGUGAUAUCUGACUGUUUUUAACCCUGUAGGUACUGGUAUUAACCAUGAUAUCUGACUUUUUUUAACCCUGUAGGUACUGGUAUGCCAAACAGCCUGAUAAUGCAGGUCCUAAUGGGGACGAGGACUGUGCUGAGAUACACAAAAAUCAGAGUCCUCUAAAGGCAUGGAAUGACAUGUCAUGUGGCAGCAAACUCAACUGGGUUUGUGAGAAAGUGUUUUAAAAUCACCAUGGCAACAUGCUGUAACACAUACAGUAGACUACAGUGCACAGAACUUCCUCCUCUGUCUCUGUCUCUCUCUCUCUUUGUCUCAAACUCAUGCACACAAAUGUUGUAUUUGUUUGUAUUAAUAUAUUAAUAAAAGUCCUACUUGUUUCCUGAUAUUGUAGCUUCCUGUUUACCAGAGACAACAUGAAGAUAGUACAUCAGACUCUGCUAUAUGGGUCUCAAAAGAGGGAAGUGAAGUUGUUAUUUUCAGUUGUUCAACCAGCUGUCACUCAAAACCUCCUCCACUAAUCAGGUUCAUUAAGAGAGAACAGAGCUGCGUCCGUUUCUGUCG